rnacentral:rRNA from 1 species
GGAAUCUUCGGCACUGGGGGCAACCCUGACCGAGCAACGCCGCGUGAGUGAAGAAGGUUUUCGGAUCGUACAGCUCUGUUGUAAGCGAAGAACCAGUUCGAGAGUGGAAAGCUCAUACUGUGACUGUCACUUACCAGUACGGGACGGCUAACCACGUGCGUGCCACCGCGGUAAUACGUAGGUCCCGAGCGUUAUCCGGAUUUAUUGGGCGUAAAGCGAGCGCAGGCGGUUAGAUAAGUCUGAAGUUAAAGGCUGUGGCUUAACCAUAGUAUGCUUUGGAAACUGUUUGACUUGAGUACAGAAGGGGAGAGUGGAAUUCCAUGUGUAGCGGUGGAAUGCGUAGAUAUAUGGAGGAACACCGGUGGCGAAAGCGGCUCUCUGGUCUGUAACUGACGCUGAGGCUCGAAAGCGUGGGUAGCGAACAGG